rnacentral:lncRNA from 1 species
GGUGGUCUAAAUUUCCGGAUUCUAAACCUCCUAAUACGAAAGGCCAUGAAGCUCGCCCUAGGACUAACGACAAUAGCCUCUUC